rnacentral:tRNA from 1 species
AUCUUUCUAGUAUGAACCCAAUACAGGUGGCUUCCAACCACUCAAUCCUGGUUAAACCCCAGGGAAAGAUA